ACGUGUGGUUCUAUUUUGUUGGUUUCUAGAGUCGCCGUAAUGAUUAAUAGGGAUAGUUGGGGGCAUUGGUAUUGAGUCGCUAGAGGUGAAAUUCUUGGAUUGACUCAAGACCAACUAUUGCGAAAGCAUUUGCCACGGAUGUUUUCAUUAAUCAAGAACGAAGGUUAGGGGAUCGAAAACGAUCAGAUACCGUUGUAGUCUUAACAGUAAACUAUGCCGACUAGGGAUUGGGCAACCUCAAUUAUGAUGUGUUGCUCAGCACCUUACGAGAAAUCAAAGUCCUUGGGUUCUGGGGGGAGUAUGGUCGCAAGGCUGAAACUUAAAGGAAUUGACGGAAGGGCACCACCAGGUGUGGAGCCUGCGGCUUAAUUUGACUCAACACGGGGAAACUCACCAGGUCCAGACAUAACUAGGAUUGACAGAUUGAUAGCUCUUUCAUGAUUUUAUGGGUGGUGGUGCAUGGCCGUUCUUAGUUGGUGGAGUGAUUUGUCUGGUUAAUUCCGAUAACGAACGAGACCUUAACCUGCUAAAUAGCCAGGCCGGCUUUUGCUGGUCGCCGGCUUCUUAGAGGGACUGUCAGCGUCUAGCUGACGGAAGUUUGAGGCAAUAACAGGUCUGUGAUGCCCUUAGAUGUUUUGGGCCGCACGCGCGCUACACUGACAGAGCCAGCGAGUUAUUUCACCUAGGCCGGAAGGUCCGGGUAAUCUUGU
rnacentral:rRNA from 1 species